GAUGAACGCUGGCGGCGUGCCUAAUACAUGCAAGUCGAGCGAACGGACGAGAAGCUUGCUUCUCUGAUGUUAGCGGCGGACGGGUGAGUAACACGUGGAUAACCUACCUAUAAGACUGGGAUAACUUCGGGAAACCGGAGCUAAUACCGGAUAAUAUUUUGAACCGCAUGGUUCAAAAGUGAAAGACGGUCUUGCUGUCACUUAUAGAUGGAUCCGCGCUGCAUUAGCUAGUUGGUAAGGUAACGGCUUACCAAGGCAACGAUGCAUAGCCGACCUGAGAGGGUGAUCGCCCACACUGGAGCUGGGACACGGUCCAGACUCCUACGGGAGGCAGCAGUCUGGAAUCUUCCGCAGUGGGCGAAAGCCUGACGGAGCAACGCCGCGUGAGUGAUGAAGGUCUUCCGAUCGUAAAACUCUGUUAUUAGGGAGGAACAUAUGUGUAAGUAGCUGUGCACAUCUUGACGGUACCUAAUCAGAAAGCCACGGCUAACUACGUG
rnacentral:rRNA from 1 species